UAACCUAACCAGACCCCAUACAAGAAACACUCAUUCUUGCUUUUGGGCUUGUCCAGUAUUUGCUUUUUUAUGUAAAUUUUUGUGAAUUUUACGGGAAUGUUGAUGUUAUUUCUGUAAUAAGACGACGACGAUUUCAUUGGUUUUCGAGAAUUUGAGAAAAAGAUCUUUGAAAACCAAUUGACGUUCGCCUAAACCCCAAACAGUGCCUAUUUCCGUGAAGAAGUUCAAAUAACCACUCUCUUUUAACAUGUGCUAUCCGUGCUAUUCGUGCUGCGGCCCUUGCGGCGGCUGCUGUUCCCCAUGCGGCGGAUGCUGCUAUCCCUCUUGCUACUGUGGUCCAUGCUGGUCGUGUUGUGGUGGUUGUGGACCAUGUUGUGGUGACUGUGGACCCUGCUGUUAGCACUUCUUCAGAACGAAAUUUAGGCCCUGCUCAAACUGUUUGUACAAAGUAACCAACAUGCCCAAUGUAAAUUCAUGUAUUCCUACACAUGCAUACGAUAACUAUGUAUAAAUAUAUGGAAUCACGUCUAA